GUCGUACGGGUGUAGCAAUACACCAGUGGCGGACGGGUGAGUAAUGUAUCGCUAACGUACCCCAGGGUCUGGGAUAGCUGCCCGAAAGGGCAGGUAAUACCAGACGAUAUAUUCCUUUCGCAUGAAAGGAAUCUCAAAGGGCAACCGCCCUGGGAGCGGGCGAUAUCGUAUCAGCUAGUUGGUAGGGUAACGGCCUACCAAGGCGACGACGCGUAGCCGGACUGAGAGGUUGGCCGGCCACAUUGGGACUGAGACACUGCCCAGACUCCUACGGGGGGCUGCAGUAACGAAUCUUCCGCAAUGCACGCAAGUGUGACGGAGCGACGCCGCGUGUGGGACGAAGUCCUUCGGGAUGUAAACCACUGUCAGGGGUUAGAAAGUUCUGAUCAACCCCAGAGGAAGGCACGGCUAACUCUGUGCCAGCAGCCGCGGUAAGACAGAGGUGCCAAGCGUUAGGCGGAAUCACUGGGCUUAAAGCGUGUGUAGGUGGAUUGGUAAGUACCUUGUGAAAUCCCACGGCUUAACCGUGGAACGGCUGGGUAUACUGCCGGUCUUGAGCCAUCUAGGGGCGAGCGGAACAAAUGGUGGAGCGGUGAAAUGCGUAGAUAUCAUUUGGAACGCCAAUGGUGAAAACAGCUCGCUGGGGAUGCGCUGACACUGAGACACGAAAGCCAGGGGAGCAAACGGGAUUAGAUACCCCGGUAGUCCUGGCCGUAAACGAUGUCCACUAGAUCGCAGAGCCUCUGAC
rnacentral:rRNA from 1 species